rnacentral:lncRNA from 1 species
GUGUCUUGUUUUGACGAGAAACCGCAACGGAGUUAGAAGCUGCCUCCUCGACCUAUUUUAAAACACAUACAUUUACUGAGACGCAGUGAUGGACUAGAAUAAAGUCUAUGGUUGGUAGUGGGAUCUUCCUUUCUUCAUCACAUGAGGGACGGGGUAGCCUGCCUUACUGCCCUCUUCACAGAUACCUGCCUCCUCCUUGGAGGGAAACAAACCUUGGUCAUAGGAAAUCCGCCUCUCCUGAUUUGAGGAAAAUGUUUCGCCCUGGAAGAGAAAACCAUCAGAAUGAACCAAGAUAAUCUAAUGUGACAACUUACCCGACGUAGUGUGACAAUUUACCCGCUGAUGGGUCUACAACUCCGUACUGAAAUAAGAUAUGAAGAUGAAAUGAAUACAA